rnacentral:rRNA from 1 species
AUUGAACGCUGGCGGAAUGCUUUACACAUGCAAGUCGAACGGCAGCAUAGGUGCUUGCACCUGAUGGCGAGUGGCGAACGGGUGAGUAAUAUAUCGGAACGUGCCCAGUCGAGGGGGAUAACGUAGUGAAAAUUACGCUAAUACCGCAUACGAUCUAAGGAUGAAAGCGGGGGAUCGCAAGACCUCGUGCGAUUGGAGCGGCCGGUAUCAGAUUAGGUAGUUGGUGAGGUAAAGGCUCACCAAGCCAACGAUCUGUAGCUGGUCUGAGAGGACGACCAGCCACACUGGAACUGAGACACGGUCCAGACUCCUACGGGAGGCAGCAGUGGGGAAUUUUGGACAAUGGACGCAAGUCUGAUCCAGGCAUUCCGCGUGCAGGACGAAGGCCUUCGGGUUGUAAACUGCUUUUGUACAGAACGAAAAGGUCUCUAUUAAUACUAGGGGCUCAUGACGGUACUGUAAGAAUAAGCACCGGCUAACUACGUGCCAGCAGCCGCGGUAA